rnacentral:rRNA from 1 species
GCAGCAGCCGCGGUAAUACGUAGGUGGCAAGCGUUGUCCGGAAUUAUUGGGCGUAAAGGGCUCGCAGGCGGUUUCUUAAGUCUGAUGUGAAAGCCCCCGGCCCAACCGGGGAGGGUCAUUGGAGACUGGGCAACUUGAGUGCAGAAGAGGAGAGUGGAAUUCCACGUGUAGCGGUGAAAUGCGUAGAGAUGUGGAGGAACACCAGUGGCGAAGGCGACUCUCUGGUCUGUAACUGACGCUGAGGAGCGAAAGCGUGGGGAGCGAACAGGAUUAGAUACCCCCGUAGUCCCUGUCUCUUAUAC